rnacentral:rRNA from 1 species
UGGGGAAUAUUGGACAAUGGGCGCAAGCCUGAUCCAGCCAUGCCGCGUGAGUGACGAAGGCCUUAGGGUUGUAAAGCUCUUUUGGCGGGGACGAUAAUGACGGUACCCGCAGAAUAAGCCCCGGCUAACUUCGUGCCAGCAGCCGCGGUAAUACGAAGGGGGCUAGCGUUGUUCGGAAUUACUGGGCGUAAAGCGCACGUAGGCGGAUGUGCCAGUCAGGGGUGAAAUCCCGAGGCUCAACCUCGGAACUGCCUCCGAUACAGCACGUCUCGAGUCCGGAAGAGGUGAGUGGAAUUCCUAGUGUAGAGGUGAAAUUCGUAGAUAUUAGGAAGAACACCAGUGGCGAAGGCGGCUCACUGGUCCGGUACUGACGCUGAGGUGCGAAAGCGUGGGGAGCAAACAGGAUUAGAUACCCUCGUAGUCCCUGAGCGGGCUGGCAAGGCGCAU